rnacentral:lncRNA from 1 species
CUGGAAAGUGGAGGGAGAGCUCAACAUGCAUCCUAAUAGGGAUGUCUGCAGAAAAAAUGAAUAUCAGGAUAAAUUUGAUGGUGCCCGAGGACCAACAAACCUUGGAUGGUUCCCAUGGAUGCUGUGGAUAUUCAGACAGCCUGUUGCCAGUCUCACCAGCACACAAGGUGAUACACUCGGUUCAGUUAAGGGAAUAACUGCCUUUACACCACAUCCCAGCUGUAACCAGGACAUCUGGGCACAGGCUUCCGACGCUGGCAACUUUCUGCUGUAUAUUUGUGGAUUUUGACAUCAAAAAGGUGCAACCCCAACCAAAAAGGACCUGGUCCUGCAGCACUGGCUGUUCCCUUCUGUCACCAGGGCGAUGCCAUCUCCCAGGGUGAGGACUUCAUCUUUUGCUGUGUUUGUGAUUCUGUCACUGUUUUAUUGCCCAACAAUAGCUCAGCUCUGUAUGAGAUUCAAAGAGUUGGAGGCUGUUGUUAGCCUCAGGAUCUGGAAUGAAAAUGGCAUACAGUGAGGUCAGCAGGCAGGCUGCAAUGUAAAUGUGAUACUCAUCUUACUGCUCCCCCUGCAGCUUUAGAUGCAGUUGACCCAGCCUUAGGGCAUGUAAAUAGAAAGAUGACCUCCCCAAAUCAUCCCAUCCAGUCCUGUUUUUCUAUUAUUCCUUUAACACAUCCAGAACAAAAUUCUUCAUGCCGGUAGCGUUCACUUAUUGGGGCCUGAUUAGCAUUUGUAUGUACCUAAUACACAGACUUACUUCAAUUCCUACAGACUCACAGGGGAGCUGCCUUGUCUUACUUGGUGUUUCCAUGUACUCCAAACCUGGAUGACAGAAUGUCUCAUUUUUUUUUCAUCUAAAUGUUGAAUAAAGGAUUACAUUUGAUUAGACCGUGACA